UUCUUUCAUUCCACCGAAAAGUCUAUUGGCUUGCAAGUUCUGGACGUGAGGGCGAUCUGGCUGCAGUACCUGUCACCCGAUUGAUCUCGAGGGUUGAUUCGGCUGAUCUGGCUGGCUAGGCACAGAUAUGAGAGAACCCCAGAAAUGGAGGAGGAAGAAGAGUUUGUGUAUGAGAAACCAUUUCCUUCAAGCCUGCAGAAAUAGUCCAGAACCUGUGUGCUGUGAACGUGGAAUGAGCCAGGGCCGCCCUACCCCCAGCAAUCCAUGCAAAAAAGAGAAACAACUAAUCAGAGUGACCUGUGUGCAGCAUCCUGAAUCCUAAAGACACAGAGCUACUGUCGGAAUACAUGGGUGGAUAUGAGGCGGAAGCCCAAGCGGCACCACCUGCGCCUCUGUCUCUGACACCCACUGUGAAAGCAGAAUCAGCAGGUCUCCCAGGAGCUCCAGGGUAUUUAUCAAGGACUUCAAAUACACCAUGCCUGUGCCCUACGCAGGGAUAUAGUGAUGACCAGGAGCAUACCUAGAACCUGUGCCAUGGAGGGAAUCUGGUCAGAAAAGCAAAGACAUUUAUCUGAUGAUCACACAAGUA